UCUUACCCAAACGCUGUAACUUAAUUCAAUCUUCUCCCCAGAAGAUGAUUCCUCUACUGCUUCCUGGCUCUGGCUUCAGAAAUCUGUAUGAAAAUCUGUGUAGUCUACACAGAAAUCAUGAAGUCAUUGAUGCUGCCUCUUCAAUUUUCGCUUCAUCAUUCACUCAUCCCCUGCUAGAUCUCAAAAUCCGCUAUUUGUAUAAAAAUCUUCGCAGGCUACACAGGUGACUUGACAAGAAAAUGAUAUUUUGAGCCAAAUGCUGAGCUAUUUGAUCAAGUUUUGAAGCCAUCAUAGCGCAGGGAUAUUUUUGUGAGGUAAAAUGAAGCAAAGGAGAUUGAUACAACACUCCUUUAUGUGCUAAAUAUUGGUGCUUUACUGGUCUUGAUGAUAUAUGCAAUUCAAUGCAAAGCAAAAGAAAGCAAGGUUGCAUUUCUCACCCAAAUUGACAUCUUCUUAGUAUUUGAAUCAUUACUUAAUGUAGGAAGAUCAAAUUGGAGUGAUUCCAGAUCUACAAUUUCUGUGAAGACUAUAAAGGCUAAUUCAGAUAUUUCAUGGGUGAAAAAUAGUUUAGAAGACAAAAUAGCUGCAUGAAACAGAGGGUUGUAUUCUGCCUAGUAGGCACGGCUCUGUGCAUUCUGUGCCUGUUAAUUCCUGGCCAUGGGCUUGCCUCAAUUUAAUCACUUUUUUUUAACCUAAUUUUGAGAGGAACUCUUCACCCUUUUA